GGAAACCGCAAGCUUUAUCGCUUUCAAUCAAAUGCAAGCACUUCAGAGCAGGGGAACUUUGAAGGUGUCUUCAUUGAGAAAGAUGAGGAAGUUGCUGAGUUUGUGAAAUACAUCCAGAGACACACAAAUGAUAUCAAAUGGGGAGGUGCGUUUCAGGAUGGGGA